rnacentral:lncRNA from 1 species
AUCCUUGUACAUCUUGGUGCCUCCCGGAUGUAUAGCAUACGGUGCUCGGUGGGCUUCUUGAAGAAUAUCCUCUUUAAUGCCCAAGUCCGCCGAUACACAAAGUCGUCCGCGGAAAUGCACCAAUCCAUCACCGUCUGAAGUGAAGUCACCGGUGCAACCAUCAACCAUCUUAGCUCGAAUCUUUUGCAACUCCGAGUCGGAAGCUUGCUUUUCUUUAAUCUUUUCCAAAAGUGUAGGUUGCACCACCAAAGUCAUCAGUCUCAAAGGUGUAUCAGGAGCCACCACCUCCAACUCCAACCGCUUCAUCUGCUCGAUUAACGGCGGUUGAGUAACCACAAGCAUCGCUAAGUUUUCCGUCGAUUUCCUACUUAGCGCAUCAGCCACCACGUUAGCCUUGCCCGGGUGGUAAAGUAUCGUCAAAUCAUAAUCCUUGAGUAGCUCCAACCAUCUGUGCUGCCUCAACU